UUACGGUCAAAUCACGUUGAAACACCGGUUCUCGUUCGAUCACCGAAGUUAAGCAGCGUAGAGCCAGGUCAGUACUUAGAUGGG